GCUUAACACAUGCAAGUCGAACGGAAAGGCCCUGCUUUUGUGGGGUGCUCGAGUGGCGAACGGGUGAGUAACACGUGAGUAACCUGCCCUUGACUUUGGGAUAACUUCAGGAAACUGGGGCUAAUACCGGAUAGGAGCUCCUGCUGCAUGGUGGGGGUUGGAAAGUUUCGGCGGUUGGGGAUGGACUCGCGGCUUAUCAGCUUGUUGGUGGGGUAGUGGCUUACCAAGGCUUUGACGGGUAGCCGGCCUGAGAGGGUGACCGGCCACAUUGGGACUGAGAUACGGCCCAGACUCCUACGGGAGGCAGCAGUGGGGAAUAUUGCACAAUGGGCGGAAGCCUGAUGCAGCAACGCCGCGUGCGGGAUGACGGCCUUCGGGUUGUAAACCGCCUUCGCCUGUGACGAAGCGUGAGUGACGGUAAUGGGUAAAGAAGCACCGGCUAACUACGUGCCAGCAGCCGCGGUGAUACGUAGGGUGCGAGCGUUGUCCGGAUUUAUUGGGCGUAAAGGGCUCGUAGGUGGUUGAUCGCGUCGGAAGUGUAAUCUUGGGGCUUAACCCUGAGCGUGCUUUCAAUACGGGUUGACCUGAAGAAGGUAGGGGAGAAUGG
rnacentral:rRNA from 1 species